CAGCCGCCACGGUAAUACGUAGGGUGCGAGCGUUAAUCGGAAUUACUGGGCGUAAAGCGUGCGCAGGCGGUUAUAUAAGACAGAUGUGAAAUCCCCGGGCUCAACCUGGGACCUGCAUUUGUGACUGUAUAGCUAGAGUACGGUAGAGGGGGAUGGAAUUCCGCGUGUAGCAGUGAAAUGCGUAGAUAUGCGGAGGAACACCGAUGGCGAAGGCAAUCCCCUGGACCUGUACUGACGCUCAUGCACGAAAGCGUGGGGAUCAAACAGGAUUAGAUACCCCUGUAGUCCCUGUCUCUUAUAC
rnacentral:rRNA from 1 species